CUCAGCUCUCUCGACCAUCCCUCCGUUCUGCAACUCCUCCAGGAGCAGACACCGACCGAGUCGGGCACAAGCAUCGUUCAGAAUGACGAGGGAAGAGGUCCUAUCUUUAUCCGAUGUCUCUGAUUCUUUCCAAGAAACAGCCCUAUUUACAUGUCAUGGUUCUUCUUCUUCUUCUUCUUCUUUCUAUCUUUUCCGGUCUAAGUUGAAAAGAUUUCGAUGUUCACGUUGGUCGUGUAAGCUUGCCUGGUGUGGGACUAGUGGCGAACUUGUCGAGACUCAUAAUGGUGAGAAAAGAAUCGGUCGAUUUUUUGGUGCAGUUCUUGAUGCAUUCUCUGCAGACUUGUGUUUCACAUGGAAAUCGGCUUGUUGGAGCCCUAAAUUUUGUUUAUAAUUGAAAUCAAUAAGAUAUUUCUUAUUUUCUAAAAUCUUAUUCAAUAAUUAGCUUAUAUAUAUAAAUCCUCAGAAGAAAAGAGCAAAUAAGGAAAAGAAGAAAUCAACACAAAACAAGACGGCCAUUUGAGAUAGAGGGGUCAUUAUCGACAAGUGGACCAAUUGGUUAGAUCAUAAUUUAAUGCAAAGCUUUCUUUUGAUUUUAAAUUUGAAAAAAAAUAAAGUAUGAGGUGCUUUCUUUUGAUUCUAAAUUCUGAAAGGUCCCCGGUAAAUUAAAUGCUGCGUCACUUCAAAUUUUAGUAUUUUACAUAUAUGUCAUUGCAAAUUCUAACAACACCAUAUUUUUUCCUCGUGUUUUGGGCGCUCGUUCUCGAAUGCAUUGGUUGUUCCUUCUCUCCCUCUUUUUUUCUAUUGAUCUGCUAUUUAAAUGUCUUAGUUGUUGGAUGUCUUGUUUAAUUGUUUCUUUGAUUCUAUAUACGUUUAGUCUUUUCUCUAGUGUUUCUUUUGAACUUUCUUUUUCUCUUGUGCUUUUGUUCUGCACAGAAUUGCAUCCGAGGAAAAUGAAGCCAUCCAACUCUAUAAGCCUUUCUCAUUCUUAUAUAUGCCAGGGAAUAAGUAUUUGAGUUUAGGUGCUUAAUAAGGGAAGUAAAUAUUAGAUUUUAGGUGCUUUCGGCAUUGAAUACGAGUGUAAUACCAGUUUGAGUCCUAACGCUCUUGCUUCUUCUGCUGACUGCUUUCAUUCUUUGAUUUGACUUGUGCUAACGAGUAUAAUUUGAAAGUAAGAAAUGAUUGUUUGACUUGCUCCAAUGGAGUGUAGUGGGCAGUCCGGUUAUGAUCUUAUCUUAAAUGUGCCUGGAUUUCAAUUGGGUAGCAACGUUCUUAAAGUUUAGUGCCUAGCUGAGUUCUUCUUGUUUAGAGGUCAGGAGUUAGCAGUUAGGUUACCGCAGAGUAAGAUGCCAGCAGUUAGGCUACCGCUACAUAAAAUGUCAGCAGUUAGGUUAGGUUCCGCUGUUCUAUUAGUUUUGCACUCCAUUCUAUUCCAUAAGUGAGUUUUAGAGUAAUAAGUGAGUUUGUUGGCGAAAGCCUUAGUGAUUAAAGGAAGCAAAGAAGGUCAUUUGAGAAUGCUUAUUCAGGUCAUAAUAUGGUUGACUUGAAUUUUUCUGAUGAAUAUAAAUUCCAUUUAUUCAGUUUUGCUUUAUUCUUUUCCUGGAAAAUUACAUGUGUUCAUCUCCUAACAAGUCUUAGCAAUCUCUAUUCUGAUCUAAGUAUUCCUUUUCUUGUAUACUACUUGGUGCUGAUUUCCUUAACCAGUACCAAGAAAAUCUAGUCUAUACAAUAAUUUCAAUUUUCAAGGGUACAAUAUAAAUCUUAAUUGAUUUAUAUGAUAUGAUUAACUAUGUCACCUGUUUACACAUGCAAAUUGUUCUACUGACGGAAGCAUAUAGCCUUUCUCUAACCUUAGUUGUUUUCAGGAAAAAAAUGAGUUUUAUCUAAGAGCUUAUUGGCAGUCUCAGUUGGAAUAAAACCAAAAGAAAUGGUAAUUGAACUUGUAAAGAAGGCACUUACAAUAUUGUUUACAUUUUUCUUUCUUCAUUUUAAAAACUCCUAGUAUGAACUAAUAAGUUGAAGAUGACUAUUUCCUCCUGGUUAUGUUGUUUAUUGUAUCUCCUUCCUUUUCUGUAAUUUCACUGUAAUGCUUUUCCACUAUGAUGGAAUUGUUGAUCAAUGGAGUGACUUUGAAUGGAGUGACACUGCAGUACAUAUCUCUGCAAUCAAUCGAACCAAAUGGUGGUUUGCUAAGCAUUUCUUACAUCCAGAUAUAGUGGCUGAGUAUAAACACAUCUUCCUUUGGGAUGAAGACAUUGGAGUAGAAAAUUUUCACCCUGGAAGGUUGUUUCAUCAUUUACAUCUUUUCAUGAUAAAAUGUUUGAUAUGCAAGAUACGUUGCAAGACCUUAAUGACCAAGUAUUGAUGCUCCAGUAAUGAGUCAGUAACGGUCAAAUUUCAACUGUUUUGUUUGGUACACAAGUUGUAUCACUUGAUACAACCCCCCUAGCAUAUACUACCCGGUACCAAGCAGUCCGCGUCUCGGUCUUCUGUCGGUCGGACUGAUAUGUGCUGCCCGUAUCAUUCCAUUUCGGGUGAUACAUCAAUCCUUGAUUCAAUGUAAACAUUUAUUUUUAUUUAUUUAUAUAAAUUUUAAUAUGAUUGAGCUACAUUUGUGUCAAAUGGUUCUCGUACUAUUUAUUUAUUUAUAUCGCUGAUACAAUUAUUCUCUUUGCAAGUACUAUUUCCAAACCUAUAGAUGCCAACCGUCGGUUAAUUGAGUGACUUCUAGAUUCAAGUUUGGCCACCUUUAAAUUACCAAAACUUGUUGUAUCAUAUAAAGUUUAAUUUGGAGAAUGAAGCACCCUGGAAAUAAAUCUGUAGGAACUAUUAAUUAAUCAAACAACAAAUUUUUAUUCACUGUUUCUUCUUAUAGUCCUCGUAAUGACCAAACAUUUCAUGUCCCUCUCAACAGCAUCUAGUUAUUCUUAUACGGAUAGUACACCUCACAUUGAGGAAACAAUCUCCAUGAGCAUUUGAAGGCAUACUAUGACCAUAAAAACAAAUUAACUUACAUUCCAUGAGCAACAUGUCAAAAUAGCUGCUAUAGCCCAGGGAAAUUCCCAAGCUGGAGUUAAUGAAACAAGUUAAACUUUUGAAAGAUCAAAUUGAACUGAAUGGGAGUAAAGAACAACAUACAUAUUAAAAUCAUGACAAUAACUUGUAUAUUCAAACAUGGUUGAAUCACAUUUGAUUUUCAGUUUUUUAAACUGAAAUGAAGCAUUCAAUCAAAAUGAACCCAAGAAACCUAGAUGAAUACCUUGAUUAGAUUUCAUUAUAUUAUAUGACCAUUUCAAUUGCACAUUUUAGUUAUACUUGUCUCAAGCAUUCAUAGAAUGAUCAAGAGUGUAGUGCAUUGUAGAUGAUCAUGAUUCAUACUUUCUUUGCUAUCAGUUUUAUCUAUUUUUAUUUAAUAGCCAUUUAGUAAUACCUUAUCGUGUGUGACUCGAUUGGCUUUUAUUUUCAAUUAUAGUGUAAUUAGUUGCUCUUCUCCCUAGAGCAAACUUAAGUUUAUUUUGUUUUGUUUUUGCAUUGAAUUGGUUUGCUUUGUAGGUUUGUGGAAAUAAUGGUUCCAGUUUUCCCAAAAGCUGCUUGGCAAUGUGCAUGACAUAUGAUCCAAAAUGACUUGCGUCAUUGGUGGGGGGUUUAGACAUGAAAUUUGGUUACUGUCUGCUCAGGGUGAUCGGAUUAUAAAUGUUGGAGUCGUAGAUAGUGAAUACAUCAUUCACAAGGGGACCCCUACACUUGGUGGAGAUCCUGAGAAAAUAUCUUUCUACUUCGUUGUCCAUUGAUCAUGCAACAAUCUGACAGGGAUACUUGCAGGAUUCUAAUGGAUCAUCUACCACCGCUCUUAGAGCUGCUGUGAUACAUGGUUGCUACCCGAGCUGGGUAUCUUUAGAAGGAGAUGGCAACAAGCAGUGGAAGAAGAUUAAGUGCUGGAUUGACCCAUACCCUCGAGCUUGAAAGAUACAUCAAUUCAUUCCACCAUCUUCUCAACUUCGGUAAGAACACAACGCCAAGUACAAUAGUCAUCUACAACGCCAAAGACGAUGUUACUCCAUGUAUUAAGCUUACAUGA